rnacentral:rRNA from 1 species
GACGAACGCUGGCGGCGUGCUUAACACAUGCAAGUCGAACGGAAAGGCCCUGCUUGCAGGGUACUCGAGUGGCGAACGGGUGAGUAACACGUGGGUGCUCUGCCCUGCACUUCGGGAUAAGCCUGGGAAACUGGGUCUAAUACCGGAUAGGAGCCAUUUUUAGUGUGAUGGUUGGAAAGUUUUUUCGGUGUAGGAUGAGCUCGCGGCCUAUCAGCUUGUUGGUGGGGUAAUGGCCUACCAAGGCGGCGACGGGUAGCCGGCCUGAUAGGGUGGACGGCCACAUUGGGACUGAGAGACGGCCCAGACUCCUACGGGAGGCAGCAGGGGGGAAUAUUGCACAAUGGGCGCAAGCCUGAUGCAGCGACGCCGCGUGGGGGAUGACGGCCUUCGGGUUGUAAACUCCUUUCGCUAGGGACGAAGCUUUUUGUGACGGUACCUAGAUAAGAAGCACCGGCUAACUACGUG